AACGCGAAGAACCUUACCAGGUCUUGACAUCCCCCCUGACCGGAUCAGAGAUGGUCCUUUCCUUCGGGACAGGGGAGACAGGUGGUGCAUGGUUGUCGUCAGCUCGUGUCGUGAGAUGUUGGGUUAAGUCCCGCAACGAGCGCAACCCUUGAGCUUAGUUGCCAGCACGUUAUGGUGGGCACUCUAGGCUGACUGCCGGUGACAAACCGGAGGAAGGCGGGGAUGACGUCAAAUCAUCAUGCCCCUUAUGACCUGGGCUACACACGUACUACAAUGGCCGGUACAACGGGCCGCGAAGCCGCGAGGCGGAGCCAAUCCUAUCAAAGCCGGUCUCAGUUCGGAUUGCAGGCUGCAACUCGCCUGCAUGAAGUCGGAAUUGCUAGUAAUCGCGGAUCAGCAUGCCGCGGUGAAUACGUUCCCGGGCCUUGUACACACCGACGCGUA
rnacentral:rRNA from 1 species